AACGCUAGCGACAGGCUAACACAUGCAAGUCGAGGGUAACAGGUAGCAAUACCGCUGACGACCGGCGCACGGGUGAGUAACGCGUAUGCAACCUACCUAGUAACUGGGGAAUAGCUCCCGUGAAAGGGGAAUUAACACCGCAGUAACACUAUUGAUUCGCAUGGAUUGGUAGUUAAAUGUAGCGAUACAGGUUAUAGAUGGGCAUGCGUGACAUUAGCUAGUUGGUGAGGUAACGGCUCACCAAGGCUACGAUGUCUAGGGGUUCUGAGAGGAAGGUCCCCCACACUGGUACUGAGACACGGACCAGACUCCUACGGGAGGCAGCAGUGAGGAAUAUUGGUCAAUGGGCGCAAGCCUGAACCAGCCAUGUCGCGUGCAGGAAGACUGCCCUAUUGGGUUGUAAACUGCUUUUAUAGUAGAAGAAACACAUCUACGUGUAGAUGUCUGCCAGUAUACUAUGAAUAAGCAUCGGCUAACUCCGUGCCAGCAGCAGC
rnacentral:rRNA from 1 species